ACCGGGUCCUGGAAAGGGAAACCCGAAAACCCAAAAGGUAACCCAAAUGCAAAAUAGAAGCUCUCUGAAAAGCCCCAAACUCUGCAAAACCCCCCUCACACACACGAACUCUCCCCGUCUCUCAUUCACAUGCUUCUCCGAUCUCGCCCGUGAAAAUUGAGUGAUAUAAUCAUGCCAGACGUGCAUACUCUUGUGAAUGAUUUCAUUAUCAAGCUGAAAAAGCGUAAAAUCGAGGGCUCGCAGGCUACGGCGAAGCAGACAGCUGAGUUACUUCGCUCGGUGAUUUCGUCGCAGCGUGUGCCCUACACGAAUCAAGCCGGAGCCUUGAUUGAUGCUGUAAAGGCUGUUGGGGAGCAGCUGAUUGCUGCAAAUCCUGUGGAGCUUGCUGUGGGUAAUAUUGUGAGGCGGGUUUUGCACAUUAUCAGGGAGGAGGAUCUUUCUCUCACCACAGCUGCAAUGGCUGGGUUGAACUUGUCAGCUGUCAGUGAUGAUGAAGAUGAUGUUGACCGCGACAACUAUCCUGUUCUAUCUGCUGCUGUAGUUGCAGCAGCUGCAAGAAGCACACUGCGUCCGCCUUCCUUGCAAACCCUUCUUGAAGACAUGCCUGAUGCAGCAGCUAUCCCUCACACUUCUUCAUCAGGGGGUGAUUCUGAAGGAAAAAGCAAAUCUGCUGAUAAAAGUUCUAGAAGCCGGAAGCUGAAGCAUGAUGUCAUUGAAGCAGUCAAUGAACUUAUUCAAGAUAUUGGCACUUGCCAUGAACAGAUUGCUGAGCAAGCAGUAGAGCACAUUCACCAUAAUGAGGUUAUAUUAACUCUAGGCAGUUCAAAAACAGUACUGGAAUUCCUUUUUGCUGCAAAGGAGAAAAAAAGAUCAUUUCGGGUAUUUGUUGCAGAGGGAGCUCCAAGGUAUCAGGGGCAUCUUCUUGCAAAAGAAUUGGUUGCAAGAGGUUUACAAACCACGCUGAUCACUGAUUCUGCAAUUUUUGCUAUGAUAUCUCGAGUGAACAUGGUUAUAGUUGGUGCUCAUGCUGUCAUGGCCAAUGGUGGUGUUAUAGCACCUGUUGGGUUGAAUAUGGUUGCACUUGCAGCCCAAAGGCAUGCCGUCCCUUUUGUUGUACUUGCUGGCAGUCACAAGUUGUGCCCUCUGUAUCCACACAACCCUGAAGUCUUGCUGAAUGAGUUAAGAUCUCCUUCUGAGCUGCUGGAUUUUGGAGAAUUCUCAGAUUGCAUGGAUUUUCGAAGUGGCACUGGUUCCCCACUUCUGCAUGUUGUCAAUCCUACAUUUGAUUUUGUGCCACCAAAGCUUGUUAGUCUAUUUAUCACUGAUACUGGAGGCCAUAAUCCAUCAUACAUGUACCGGCUCAUCGCAGAUUAUUACUCUGCUGAUGAUUUGGUUGUCCAACGAAGACCUGCUACAGGGAGCUGAGUUUAGCUCAUGCUUUUAUAUCAUAUAUUGGGGAGUACAGAAAGCUAUAAUGGUAAUGAUUGGAUGAAGAGAUGAUGAAAUCAAUUGUUAAGUCUUAUGGAACCAUGAAGACCAUUGUUACUGCUGGUAGUGUGUCAUGCAGAGCGGAGUAUUUUGAGCUGUGAACUUUGGAUGGUACUGAUAGAAGCAAAGAGCGCCAAUUUUGUAUUGUUGCUGGUAUCUCUUCUUUCUGUUAAUGGAUGCGUGGAAAUUUUAGUAGAAAUACCGUUGGGUAUUUGGCUUUUUGCUGUUGAAACCAUUUUCAGGUUUCCAACUAUCUGAGGAUUGUGUUGUUUGCACCAUGGGAAUUUGAUCUUUUUGUGAAACCUUAUUGUACUGCAAAGACACACCAGGAAGUUUCUCUAACUUGUCAUGUUAUGUUUGCAUAAGUC